rnacentral:miRNA from 1 species
CUGGGCUGGGCUGGGCUGGGCUGGACGGGUUGCGCCGGAGCUCGCCUGCAC